rnacentral:tRNA from 1 species
GGGCUUGUGGCUCAGUGGCAGAGCGCUCACCUAGCAUGUGUGAGGCUCUGGGUUCGAUCCUUAGCACCG